rnacentral:rRNA from 1 species
GAAGACCAAGGGUUCCUGUCCAACGUUAAUCGGGGCAGGGUGAGUCGACCCCUAAGGCGAGGCCGAAAGGCGUAGUCGAUGGGAAACGGGUUAAUAUUCCCGUACUUGGUGUUACUGCGAAGGGGGGACGGAGAAGGCUAUGUUGGCCGGGCGACGGUUGUCCCGGUUUAAGCGUGUAGGUGUGUGUUCCAGGUAAAUCCGGUUCACUUUAACACUGAGGCGUGAUGACGAGGCGCUACGGUGCUGAAGCAACAAAUGCCCUGCUUCCAGGAAAAGCCUCUAAGCAUCAGGUAACAUCAAAUCGUACCCCAAACCGACACAGGUGGUCAGGUAGAGAAUACCAAGGCGCUUGAGAGAACUCGGGUGAAGGAACUAGGCAAAAUGGUGCCGUAACUUCGGGAGAAGGCACGCUGACACGUAGGUGAAGUGAUUUACUCAUGGAGCUGAAGUCAGUCGAAGAUACCAGCUGGCUGCAACUGUUUAUUAAAAACACAGCACUGUGCAAACACGAAAGUGGACGUAUACGGUGUGACGCCUGCCCGGUGCCGGAAGGUUAAUUGAUGGGGUCAGCGCAAGCGAAGCUCCUGAUCGAAGCCCCGGUAAACGGCGGCCGUAACUAUAACGGUCCUAAGGUAGCGAAAUUCCUUGUCGGGUAAGUUCCGACCUGCACGAAUGGCGUAAUGAUGGCCAGGCUGUCUCCACCCGAGACUCAGUGAAAUUGAACUCGCUGUGAAGAUGCAGUGUACCCGCGGCAAGACGGAAAGACCCCGUGAACCUUUACUAUAGCUUGACACUGAACAUUGAGCCUUGAUGUGUAGGAUAGGUGGGAGGCUUUGAAGUGUGGACGCCAGUCUGCAUGGAGCCGACCUUGAAAUACCACCCUUUAAUGUUUGAUGUUCUAACGUGGACCCGUGAUCCGGGUUGCGGACAGUGUCUGGUGGGUAGUUUGACUGGGGCGGUCUCCUCCUAAAGAGUAACGGAGGAGCACGAAGGUUGGCUAAUCCUGGUCGGACAUCAGGAGGUUAGUGCAAUGGCAUAAGCCAGCUUGACUGCGAGCGUGACGGCGCGAGCAGGUGCGAAAGCAGGUCAUAGUGAUCCGGUGGUUCUGAAUGGAAGGGCCAUCGCUCAACGGAUAAAAGGUACUCCGGGGAUAACAGGCUGAUACCGCCCAAGAGUUCAUAUCGACGGCGGUGUUUGGCACCUCGAUGUCGGCUCAUCACAUCCUGGGGCUGAAGUAGGUCCCAAGGGUAUGGCUGUUCGCCAUUUAAAGUGGUACGCGAGCUGGGUUUAGAACGUCGUGAGACAGUUCGGUCCCUAUCUGCCGUGGGCGCUGGAGAACUGAGGGGGGCUGCUCCUAGUACGAGAGGACCGGAGUGGACGCAUCACUGGUGUUCGGGUUGUCAUGCCAAUGGCACUGCCCGGUAGCUAAAUGCGGAAGAGAUAAGUGCUGAAAGCAUCUAAGCACGAAACUUGCCCCGAGAUGAGUUCUCCCUGAGACUUUAGGUCUCCUGAAGGAACGUUGAAGACGACGACGUUGAUAGGCCGGGUGUGUAAGCGCAGCGAUGCGUUGAGCUAACCGGUACUAAUGAACCGUGAGGCUUAACCUU